AGCAAGAGAAAAUGAGGGGUAUGGAGUAAGUUAAAGGAAUCAGUUCAGUGCUGGAGAAGCAAUGGAGUCUGCCCCUCGCUUACGUGGGGUAGGAUAGUGACUGAGAAAACCAGAACUAAAGAAUGGACACACAGACUCAGUGCAUGCCCAGUUCUGAAAUGUAAGUCCACAGACCCGGAAAGGGUCUAGGGACAAUGCAACUGCCAAAUAAUAUUUGGACAUUUAGCUGGUCUCCACCACUGACGUUUGUACUGAAGGGCAAUCUGCCCCAGGACAAACCAGUGGUUUUCUGUGAGUGUGGGCUAAUGGCCCCAAUUCAGUCACUGCCACUCUACUACAGGGACAAAGACACAGACAAAGAAAACACAAUAGAAACAAGUCUUUAAGAACCAGAAAGAGGCAUUGUACUUAAAAACACUUGAUAAAACAAGAAAGUUCAGCAUCUUAUUAAACAGUAACCUUUGGAGACAGCUCUCUUCCAUACAACCCCCGUGCCCCCAGCUUCCUGUACUGACAAAAGCCAAGUGGAAAUCCCAGAAAGAGAUUCCUAAGUGUUAAACUGCAUGCUGUCUGCACGGCACACUGGCACCUUGGGCUGUCCGGCUCUGUCCCACCUGGAAUAUGUGUCACUUCUUUUUAAUCGGUAUAGCCAAGGGCUUACUUAAUCCAUUAAGUCUCAGGCUGCCCUGUGAGCCCACAAUGUAACUGAAGAUGACCGUGAAUCUCUGAUCCUCUUGCCUCUACCUCCCAAAUACUGGGAUUGCAGAUGUAUAUCAUCACCCUCAGGUUAUGUGGUACUCGGGAUAGAAGCAAGGCUUCAUGCAUGCGAGGUUACCACUCUGCCAACUGAGCUACAAUCCCCAGCUAAGCUUCUGCAUGGGAGUGUAUGGGGACACACACAGCAGACACAGCCAUCAGUACCAUCUGACAUUGGCUGGUCUUGGAUCAUCCCCUAGAGGACAAGGAAUACAUUUAUCACACACCACUCUGCAUGUGGUAAAUGCUUAAGCUGGGAAUAGUAAGGACGGCUGACACCUUGAAGAAAAGCCCUCUUGCCACGGCUCGGAGAUGAACUUCCUGACCAAAGACUACUCUCCUAUUUGACAAUGGUUGACCAGUGGCUGCAUUUGAACUCAGGUUUAUGGCACAACGGAGCAGAAAACAAAGUGAAUUUGGGGCUUGCAGGAAAACCAUAAGGUACACAUGUGGGUGGUGAUAAAAUCUGAGCUUUUAAGGAAAAAUUAAAAUUUGGGAAAAAUUUACCAACCAGUGUGUGAGACUGCUGGGUUCCUAAUAUUUCCAGAUCUCCGAUGAAUGUGACUUUUGAUAACCUAGUGAUUCAUAUCUCCCAAAUGACAACGAUAAGUGGGUAAGAGAUUCAAAGCACAAACCAGAGACUGAUGUCAGCGCCAAGAGAACACAAAGUUCAUUGGUGCAGCGUCUGAUUUCUCACUGCAACCUUUAAGAAACUGCUCUUCGUCAAGUUGGGGGUUAAAUAUAAAAAGAGAAAAUUAUGCCCAUAAUUAUCUGUCAUGAGCCAUUUCCCUCCCAAAAAUCAUUAUAGGAACCAUCACCUCGGGGAGUCUGCAGAGAACCCCACACCCAUAAUUAUGUUAAGAAUCAUUCUACUGACAAAACCUGCCCCACACCCAAUUAGCUGUUAUCUGUUAGUGGAACCUGCCUCACAUUCCAGCUAUCCAGGGAACUAGGUGUGGCAACUCGUGACUUCUUGGCCUACCUGACCAAAGGUAACCUCCUGGCCUACGUGACCUGGACCAUGUGACAAGAGUCCAGGCCCCUGUGCCCCCCCCAUUCCUUACCCUAUCUAUAUAAACUGUAACCUGUCCCUAAUAAACGAAGGCUGUGACAAACUUAGCAUGGCCUUCUCCUUAUUUCCUAGCCCAUUCUCUUCCAGAUAGCGCCCCUCCGUGACCCUGGAAUAACUGAUUGCAGGGUGGGUUACAACCCCUAGACUGAGUGACCCACCCAACGCAAUCGACAAUUAUCUGAAAAACUUCGUUGUCUCCCAACUACGUAUCUGUUUAAAGUCAGGUUUUCUUCAAACGUUUCAAAAAGAAUGUAUUUUAACAGAUUGGCAACAGAAACAGACACCAGAAUCCAGCUGGCAUUUAUUAAUGCAGACCUUGUACAGGCUCGUGAAAAUACAAUACCACACUUCGCACUGAAUUUUUGUUUGAAAACAGUUAUUUUUGAGCCAGGCAUGGCAGUGCACGCCUGUAACAUCAGCACUUGAGAAAUGGGAGAAGGGUCAGCAGUUCAAGGUCAUUCUCAGUAGAAUACUGAGUUUGAAGCCAGCAAGCCACGGGAACCCUGUAUUUAAGAAACUAAGAACAGGGACAGCUCUGAGGACAAAAGCUCUUGCACAUGAGUCUGGUGAUGUAAGCUCCACCCCAGAACUCUGUGUAAAAAAAGAACUGACUCCCCAAAGUUGUUCUCUAACCUCCAUACUCACACGUGCACACCCACACGUGCACACUCACACAUGCACACACACACAUGCGCAUGCACAGACACACACACACAAAAUAAAACUGAAAGAAAAGGAGGCACACAGCUGCCUGAACUCCAGUUCCAGAGGAUAUGGCGCUCUCUCCUGGCCAUGGCAGGCACUGCGCAUAAAUAAAUCUGCUUAAAAAUGUAAUGAAUUUAAUGUCUGUUGCAGUCUAUUAUUCUUUUCUUUUACAUUCUGUUUUAUUUGGUGUGUGUGUGUCUGUGUGUUUGCCUGCAUGUAUGUCUGUGUAUCGCAUGUGAUCUAGGAAGUGGUGAGCUUCCAUGUGAGUGGAGGGAAUCAACCCAGGUCCUUUGCAGGAACAAGUGCUCUUAACCACUGAGCCAACUCUCCAUUCCACUUCAUCUCAUCACUAAAUCUCUCCCAUCAUUCUCUAGUGGUGCGGUGAUGGAAUCCAGGGCUUCGCAUAUGCAAAGCAAGAACUUACCCUUGAAUCUCUCUUCACAGCCCUGCAACUAAAUAUUUGAAAAACUAUACUUUCAGUAUCUAUUAUGGCAAAUAUUGAGAAACACAGGCCUGUCAGGUGUGAUGGUGCAUACCAGCACUUGUAAUCCCAGCACGUGGGAGGCAAGCAUAUCUGAAUUCAAGGCAGCCUGUUCCACAUUGUGAGUUCUAGGACAGCCAGAGCUAUGCAGUGAGACCCGUCUCAAAACAACAAACGAAAAAGACAAAUAUAUCCCAGAUAAACAUAUGGGUUUUUUGGUGUCAAUAAUUUAUAAACUAUAAUGGGGCCAUUAAAAGCACAGGUGGUGGAGCGGGGAGGAAGCUUGCUCGAUGGUGGAGAGCAUUUGCUGCUCUUACAGAGGAUACGAUCCUUUAGCUUCCAGCACCAACACGAGGCAACACAAGCUCCCAUAACUCUGGUUACAGGGAAACCAACGCCCUCUUCCGACCAUUUGGGCACUGCACAGCACACACACGGUACACAUGCACACUUACAGACACUCACAUGUACAACACAGUACACAUGCACACUUGCAGGCACUCACACGUACACACACAGUACACAUGCACACUUCCAGGCACUGCACAGCACACACACACGGUACACAUGCACACUUGCAGGCACUGCACAGCACACAGUACACAUGCAUACUUGCAGGCACUGCACAGCACACAUGGUACACAUGCACACUUGCAGGUACUGCACAGCACACAUACACAGUACACAUGCACACUUGCAGGUACUGCAUAGCACACACACGGUACACAUGCACACUUGCAGACACUGCACAGCACACACACAGUACUGAUGUGGGAGUGUCAUAUAUCAAUCUGUUGAUUUCAUUGGUUAAGUAAUAAACACACUGCUUGGCCUCAUAGGUUAAAGCAUUGGUGGGAGGAGUAAACAGAAUAGAAUUCUGGGCGGAAGAGGAAGUGAGGUCAGACUCUGCUCUGCUUCCAGAGGGACCGGACAGCUCUGCUCUCUGGAGCAGAGACGCCAUGCUCUGCUCUCCCAGGCAGCUCCAACCCACAAUGAACUUAGGCUAGAAUCUUCCCGGUAAACGCACCUUGGGGUGCUUACACACAUUACUAGAAAUGGGCUAGUCCAGGUGCGAGAGUUAGCCUAGAAGAGGCUAGAUAGAAAUGGGUCAAGCAGUUAAAUGAAUACAGUUUGUGUGUUGUUAUUUUGAGCAUAAGCUAGCCAAGCGGCCGGGGUGUUGGGGACACAGCCCUGCCGCCGCUCUUAUUUCAACAGGCAUGUUGUACAUGGAUCCUAUAACUCAUGGGCAUCACGGCACAAAUCUAUCUUAGAAAUACCAGGAUAUUGUGAUUUUACUACACUAUGCCUGCUUACUGUGUUGUGGUGAAUAGGCUCUCUAGGCUUAGAAGCUUGAAGUUCUAGGUUUGACUCCAGCCUAGAACCUUUCUUUGAGAUAGAAGAGGCCUCUGCAUGAAAGGACACCACCUCAGAACUUGGGUGUAAGACUCUAAUUUUCUAUUCCAGUUUUCUUUUAGCCUCAGCAAUAUCAGCCUCUCCACUCCCACCUGGGGAAGGUAGCUCAUAGGUUGGUCCCUCUGAAUAGCCAGCCCUUCCAGGGACCAUUUCCUGAACGCCUCUGCUUGCGCUUUCACACACCAUUUUCAGAACGUGGAUUUCUUCCAGCAGGAAUGGACAGGAACUCUUUGAGAGCAGGAUGGUGUGCUGACUCGGAGGUGCUGGGAAAGUGUCCUUGGGUCAACAGUAAAUCCUGUCCCCACCAGUAAGGGACCAGUGCUUGAUAAGUCAACUAGAAAUCGGUCCCCAGAAACAAACCCCGCUGGCAAACAUGGAAGCUCUAGGACUUUUGGAGAGCCAUGGUGGUACUGUGGAGAUGAAGGGAAGUGGCCAAGGAUGGCACAAACAUGUGUGCUGUUCUGUUUUACUAAAAGAGAAAACACCCAACAGUACCCACAAUGUGGUAAAAAUGCAGAAGCACAGAGCAUCAGGGCCACAAUCUGCAAGCGGCCAUCGUGACAAAGAAGAGCCCGAAAUGUGGCAGGAGAAAGUGUGAGCUGAAAAGCCUUCAUUCAGUCAGCAAUGCGGCUCUACCUCGGAGCCUCCUGGAAUUGGCCUGAGCCCCGUGGGACCCGUGGGACCUGUGGGGUCUGUGGGACCCAUGGGUGUUACAUGUAAGAAAUAACUGCCAUACACCACAAAGGCAACAUUCCAUAUUCCCAAGUAAAGUAAUGCACUCCCAACAGAGUUCAUUCGUGAGUUUUCCUAAGCCUUCAUGCUCAGUAGUCUCCAAUACAGAGGAGAGUUCUAUACAGUAUCAGCCCUUCUGAUGCCCUAAGCCAGUGGUUCUCAACAUGGGGGACUCAACCCCCACGGGGUGGCAUAUCAGAUAUUUACAUUAUGAUUCAUAAUAGUAUCCAGAAUACAGCUAUGAAGUAGCAAUAGAAUAAUUUUGCAGUUGGGGGACUCCACUAUCUGAGUAAAGGGUCAUAGGAAGAUUGAGAAGCACAGCCCUAGGCCCAUAUCUGUAAAGCCUUUUUCAUUUUUCUCCUAGGGAAAAAUGUUAUUCUUGGCCAUUAAAUAUUCCUAGAGGUAAAAGUCACAGUGGCCCCCAAUCCCUGCUGGUCCCUGAGCAUCCACUACAGGCCAGAGAUCCCAGUCAGUUGUCUCUCAUCUUUGUAACGACCUUGUAAAGGAGGAAUCUCAUUGUGAAAACAAGAUGAAAUUUGAGAGUAUUGAUGUGGCUAUCCUUGGGUCUCACUUCAAAAUCACUAAGACUGACUUUCAUAUCUCAACUCUGCAGGAGUCGAACGUGAAUGAUAAAACACCCCUCUAGUGUCCACAGUGAUGUCACAGUGAUGUCAAGCCCUAUCAUUAUGUUAUGCUUGAGGGGCUGAUUUAAAACAGCAAGUACUAUUAGAGAUGGGCAGCAUGGGUAAGGAAAACACAUACAAAAGAAGCCAAAUAAUAGCUGGGUGUGGCUGGGCCCACCUGUAGUUUCACCCAUUUGGAGCCUGAAGCAGAGGAUGGCAUGGGCCCCGGAGUUCAAGGACUCGACUUGAGGGGUGCUGAUCAUGGGCUGUGCAGAUUCCUCCUACAGAUCUUUCACAAAAGUUUCUUUUUUUUUUCUUUUUUUUUAUUUUUGUCCCCCUCACUUAGUUCAGAAGUUCAUCUCUGCUGGAGAUUACUCUUUUGUUUAAGGCUAACACAAAGAAGAAAAGUGAGUGUUGGGCAUCGGACACCUGAGUGUGAGUAGAGGUUAGUCAAGUUUGGUCUUCCCUGUCAACAGGGAAGGUCACUAGCAGCCAGUGUGAGCAGUAGGAUGGAGAUGUGGGAUUCCCCUCUGGAUGCUGUGAAUACCAUUGGUUAAUAAAGAAACUGUCUUGGGCCUGCACACGGAAUAAACGUAGGUGGGGAAAACUAAAUUGAAUGCUGGGAGGAAGAAGGCAGAGUCAAAGAGAAGCCUUGUAGCCCCACCGGAGAACAGAUGCUGGAACUUUAGCAUCAAUGCAUUUGGCAAACUAUCUUCUAAAUGUGGUUAAGAUCCCCUGAAGCUAGAGUUAAGGACAAUGGCAAGCCACAUGGAGGUUCUGAAAAUGGAACCCUGGGUAUCUGGAAGAGCAACCAGUGGUCUUAACCACUGAAUUAUCUCCUCAGACCUAAAAGAACUUUAAAAAAUGACUUAGACUGGGUGGUGGCACACGCCUUUAAUCCCAGCACUCGGGAGGGAGACAGAAGCAGGUGGAUCUCUAUGAGUUUGAGGUCAGCCUGGUCUACAAGAGCUAGUUCCAUGACAGGCACCAAAGCCACACAAAGAAACCUUGCCUUGAAAAACAGAAAACAAAACAAAUCAACAAAACAUUUAGAAGAUAGUUUGCCAAGAGCACUGAUGCUUAAAAGAUAAACCUAUGUCUGGGGUGUGCCAUCUCUCCUCAACUCAUUAGCAGUCCCUUUCUUACUCAAGGUGUUCACAGUUCAGCAUCCUCAGAUUACUGCAAACAGGAGGUGGCUUUAGACAACAGAAACAUUCUCUAAGAACUGUGGAGGAUGGACGUCUGAUGUCAACAUGACCACACUCUAUCUGAAGGCUUUAGACAAGCACCAACUCCUCGACCAUCUUGAUGGCCACCCAAACCCCUAUGUAGCUCUCUGCCUCUAUCACCACCACAUCCCAUGUGUGGGUCUCAGUGCCAAGUCCCCCCUGUGUAUUACAGGAACAUCAUUCAGGACCAAGAAUUCUGACUAACAAUAACAUAUCAAAACAAAAUUUUCAUCCAAAUAUUUCCAGAAGGAUCUAGAAAGAACCUAACCUCAAAACAAUUUCAUGAAAGUAACUGCUAUUAGACCAUUAACUAUGACAGGUCAUUAAAUAUUGACUGCCAAGUCUUCCUUGCUAUAAAUAUUUUAUAUAAAUGACCGGGUGAAGUUCUUUUAUAAAUAAUAACAUCAGGACAAUUUGAAAUUUUAUUCAUUAGUUUAAGCAUUACAGCUGGGAUGGAAAAGGAUCCUGGCAGUCAGGGGCCAAAGAGUGCCACAAAGUCUCUAUAAGCUCAGCAGCUUAUGGCCUCGCUCUAGCGCUGCCCCAGCAGGGGAGAGCUUCCCCAGCUAAGUUGUUACAGUUCUGCUCAGGUCCCUGGAAACUGUUACAGUCCUGCUCUGCUCUGGUUCCGGUAAAAAGUUACUACUAUGCACCUUUCUAUUCUGGCGAAAGAAGGUCUCACCCAGACCGCAUUUAACUGAUUUAUUAGGAGUAAAGAAUCCAGGAGAGUGGCUGCCUUUACCGGGUAGAAAAAUCAGCUGCCAACUGAGCAGGCACAGGGCUUGUACAGGACUUCUUAGGGGUGGAGUUUUUCUAGGGUAAAGAUUUUCAAGGUGUGAAUUGAUUAGAUUUCAACCCCUGAGGUUGGGCAAGCUCAGAGAUUGGCUGGAUUUCAUGCUCAGGGAUUGGUCAAUCUUGUGAUCUGGGAUUGAUUGGUUUUCCUGUUCAGGGAUUGGUUGGUUUUCAUACUGAAUUGGUCAUGGGCAGACUGUUUCUUUGGCUCUGAUUUCAGAGACAAAAUGUUUUAUUCACUGACCCUUUUUAACCUUUGACUCUAGUUUCAGGACCAAGGUGUGUUUCUUUCACUAGCUCUGGUUCCAGGGCGAGGGUGGUUUUCUUUGGCUGGCCCUUUUACCCUACAAUCAAUGUCUAGAGAUUAGAAAAAGACAUUCAAAUUACUUUUAAAGAUCAUAGUUCAGAGGAUUUUACAGGAAAAAAUAAAAUAAUUUAAAUAUUG